AUUGAACGCUGGCGGCAGGCCUAACACAUGCAAGUCGAACGAGUGGCGGACGGGUGAGUAAUGUCUGGGAAACUGCCUGAUGGAGGGGGAUAACUACUGGAAACGGUAGCUAAUACCGCAUACCAUCAGAUGUGCCCAGAUGGGAUUGGCUUGUUGGGGGGGUAAGGGCUCACCAAGGCGACGAUCCCUAGCUGGUCUGAGAGGAGGACCAGCCACACUGGAACGGCGACACGGUCCAUAUUCCUACGGGCGGCAGCAGUGGGGAAUAGUGCACAAUGGGGGCAAGCCUGAUGCAGCCAUGCCGCGUGUAUGAAGAAGGCCUUCGGGUUGUAAAGUACUUUCAGCGGGGAGGCGUUACCCGCAGAAGAAGCACCGGCUAACUCCGUGCCAGCAGCCGCGGUAAUAC
rnacentral:rRNA from 1 species